UUUUACAGGCUUAACACAUGCAAGUCGAGGGGCAGCAUGGUCUUAGCUUGCUAAGGCCGAUGGCGACCGGCGCACGGGUGAGUAACGCGUAUCCAACCUGCCUUACACUCUUGGACAGCCUUCUGAAAGGGAGAUUAAUACAAGAUGUUAUCAUGAGUAAGCAUUUUCGCAUGAUUAAAGGUUUACCGGUGUAAGAUGGGGAUGCGUUCCAUUAGAUAGUAGGCGGGGUAACGGCCCACCUAGUCUUCGAUGGAUAGGGGUUCUGAGAGGAAGGUCCCCCACAUUGGAACUGAGACACGGUCCAAACUCCUACGGGAGGCAGCAGUGAGGAAUAUUGGUCAAUGGACGAGAGUCUGAACCAGCCAAGUAGCGUGAAGGAUGAAGGUUCUAUGGAUUGUAAACUUCUUUUAUACGGGAAUAAACGAAUCCACGUGUGGAUUUUUGCAUGUACCGUAUGAAUAAGGAUCGGCUAACUCCGUGCCAGCAGCCGCGGUAAUACGGAGGAUCCGAGCGUUAUCCGGAUUUAUUGGGUUUAAAGGGAGCGUAGAUGGGUUGUUAAGUUAGUUGUGAAAGUUUGCGGCUCAACCGUAAAAUUGCAAUUGAUACUGGCAGUCUUGAGUACAGUUGAGGUAGGCGGAAUUCGUGGUGUAGCGGUGAAAUGCUUAGAUAUCACGAAGAACUCCGAUUGCGAAGGCAGCUUACUAACCUGUAACUGACAUUGAUGCUCGAAAGUGUGGGUAUCAAACAGGAUUAGAUACCCUGGUAGUCCACACGGUAAACGAUGAAUACUCGCUGUAGGCGAUAUACAGUCUGCGGCCAAGCGAAAGCAUUAAGUAUUCCACCUGGGGAGUACGCCGGCAACGGUGAAACUCAAAGGAAUUGACGGGGGCCCGCACAAGCGGAGGGACAUGUGGUUUAAUUCGAUGAUACGCGAGGAACCUUACCCGGGCUUAAAUUGCAACCGAAUAUGGCGGAAACGCUAUAGCUAGCAAUAGCGGUUGUGAAAGUGCUGCAUGGUUGUCGUCAGCUCGUGCCGUGAGGUGUCGGCUUAAGUGCCAUAACGAGCGCAACCCUUGCCGAUAGUUACUAACAGGUCAUGCUGAGGACUCUGUCGGGACUGCCAUCGUAAGAUGUGAGGAAGGUGGGGAUGACGUCAAAUCAGCACGGCCCUUACGUCCGGGGCUACACACGUGUUACAAUGGGGGGUACAGAGGGCUGCUACCACGCAAGUGGAUGCCAAUCCCAAAAACCUCUCUCAGUUCGGAUUGAAGUCUGCAACCCGACUUCAUGAAGCUGGAUUCGCUAGUAAUCGCGCAUCAGCCACGGCGCGGUGAAUACGUUCCCGGGCCUUGUACACACCGCCCGUCAAGCCAUGGGAGCCGGGGGUACCUGAAGUGCGUAACCGCAAGGAGCGCCCUAGGGUAAAACUGGUGACUGGG
rnacentral:rRNA from 1 species